rnacentral:rRNA from 1 species
GAUGAACGCUGGCGGCGUGCCUAAUACAUGCAAGUCGAGCGAACGGACGAGGAGCUUGCUCCUCUGACGUUAGCGGCGGACGGGUGAGUAACACGUGGAUAACCUACCUAUAAGACUGGGAUAACUUCGGGAAACCGGAGCUAAUACCGGAUAAUAUUUUGAACCGCAUGGUUCAAUAGUGAAAGACGGUCUUGCUGUCACUUAUAGAUGGAUCCGCGCCGCAUUAGCUAGUUGGUAAGGUAACGGCUUACCAAGGCAACGAUGCAUAGCCGACCUGAGAGGGUGAUCGGCCACACUGGAACUGAGACACGGUCCAGACUCCUACGGGAGGCAGCAGUAGGGAAUCUUCCGCAAUGGGCGAAAGCUUGACGGAGCAACGCCGCGUGAGUGAUGAAGGUCUUCGGAUCGUAAAACUCUGUUAUUAGGGAAGAACAUAUGUGUAAGUAACUGUGCACGUCUUGACGGUACCUAAUCAGAAAGCCACGGCUAACUACGUG